rnacentral:tRNA from 1 species
GCCGGUGUGGUUCAGUGGAUAGAGCGUCAGCCUGUGGACUGAAGGGUCCUGGGUUCGAUUCCCGGUCAGGGCA